GACGAACGCUGGCGGCGUGCUUAACACAUGCAAGUUGAGCGCUGAAGGUUGGUACUUGUACCAACUGGAUGAGCAGCGAACGGGUGAGUAACGCGUGGGGAAUCUGCCUUUGAGCGGGGGACAACAUUAGGAAACGAAUGCUAAUACCGCAUAAAAACUUUAAACACAAGGUUUAAGUUUGAAAGAUGCAAUUGCAUCACUCAAAGAUGAUCCCGCGUUGUAUUGGCUAGUUGGUGAGGUAAAGGCUCACCAAGGCGAUGAUACAUAGCCGACCUGAGAGGGUGAUCGGCCACAUUGGGACUGAGACACGGCCCAAACUCCUACGGGAGGCAGCAGUAGGGAAUCUUCGGCAAUGGACGAAAGUCUGACCGAGCAACGCCGCGUGAGUGAAGAAGGUUUUCGGAUCGUAAAACUCUGUUGGUAGAGAAGAACGUUGGUGAGAGUGGAAAGCUCAUCAAGUGACGGUAACUACCCAGAAAGGGACGGCUAACUACGUG
rnacentral:rRNA from 1 species